rnacentral:rRNA from 2 species
GGGUUGUGAGGUUAAGCGACUAAGCGUACACGGUGGAUGCCCUGGCAGUCAGAGGCGAUGAAGGGCGUGCUAAUCUGCGAUAAGCGCCGGUAAGGUGAUAUGAACCGUUAUAACCGGCGAUACCCGAAUGGGGAAACCCAGUGUGACUCGUCACACUAUCAUUAACUGAAUCCAUAGGUUAAUGAGGCGAACCGGGGGAACUGAAACAUCUAAGUACCCCGAGGAAAAGAAAUCAACCGAGAUUCCCCCAGUAGCGGCGAGCGAACGGGGAGGAGCCCAGAGCCUGAAUCAGCAUGUGUGUUAGUGGAAGCGUCUGGAAAGGCGCGCGAUACAGGGUGACAGCCCCGUA